rnacentral:lncRNA from 1 species
AGUCAGGCUAAUUCGCGAGACAAAUCUGUUAAGCCUAAUCAAUUCAUGAUUAGCAUAUAUUUACUAUAGCAUCACAUGGUCAAAUCAUGAACUAGUUAGGUUUAAUAGAUUCGUCUUGCGAAUUAGCCUUCAUUUACACAAUUGAUUUUGUAAUUAGCAUAUAUUUAAUACUCCUAAUUAGUAUCUAAACAUUCGACGUGACAGAAUUAAACUUUAGUCAAGAACGAAGAGACUCUAAGCCAGCCAUACAGGAGUCUGCGAAACUGUUAGGAUUUGUGAAUGAGGC